UACAGAGGUCUCAAGCGUUUGUUCGGAUUUACUGGGCGUAAAGGGCGCGUAGGCGGUCAGCACAAGUCAGUUGUGAAAUCUCCGGGCUUAACUCGGAAAGGUCAACUGAUACUGUGCGACUAGAGUGCAGAAGGGGCAACUGGAAUUCUCGGUGUAGCGGUGAAAUGCGUAGAUAUCGAGAGGAACACCUGCGGCGAAGGCGGCUCACUGGCCCGGUACUGACGCUGGAGGUGCGAAAGCGUGGGGAGCAAACAGG
rnacentral:rRNA from 1 species